GAUGAACGCUGGCGGCGUGCCUAAUACAUGCAAGUCGAGCGAACGGACGAGAAGCUUGCUUCUCUGAUGUUAGCGGCGGACGGGUGAGUAACACGUGGAUAACCUACCUAUAAGACUGGGAUAACUUCGGGAAACCGGAGCUAAUACCGGAUAAUAUUUUGAACCGCAUGGUUCAAAAGUGAAAGACGGUCUUGCUGUCACUUAUAGAUGGAUCAGCGCUGCAUUAGCUAGUUGGUAAGGUAACGGCUUACCAAGGCAACGAUGCAUAGCCGACCUGAGAGGGUGAUCGGCCACACUGGAACUGAGACACGGUCCAGACUCCUACGGGAGGCAGCAGUAGGGAAUCUUCCGCAAUGGGCGAAAGCCUGACGGAGCAACGCCGCGUGAGUGAUGAAGGUCUUCGGAUCGUAAAACUCCGUUAUUAGGGAAGAACAUAUGUGUAAGUAACUGUGCACAUCUUGACGGUACCUAAUCAGAAAGCCACGGCUAACUACGUG
rnacentral:rRNA from 1 species